rnacentral:sRNA from 1 species
AACGGCCCGCCUGAACAGGCGGGCCGUUUUCAGUUCAGAGACCGUGACUUAAUUGCCCCUCUCCUCGGGUUUAACCCGAGGACU